UCCCCUCCCUCACGUGACCCAGUGUUUACAUCCUCUCAGCUGUUCCGCUCCUUUCCCUUCCCCCUCCCUCCCCUCCGAACGUCUCUCGCAGCGACACAAACAACAAGUCGGCGCUGGCGAUAGCGUGGGAAGGAGGAGAGAGAGAGAGAGAAAGAGCGCAGGGACAGCGGGCGGCGGGUUUCCUUCCUUCUUCCGCCAGCUGAGUCUGAAAACCCACCGCCCCCAUUUUGUAUCUGAAGAAAGGGGAGAAGGGUCUUUUGUUGCAGUUCCUCAGGCUCUCUCUCGAACUUAACUCGGAGGAGGACGAUUGUUGGGGAGGAGGAUCAAAACCCAAGGUACACAUUUUUUCCUGCCUCAUACACAAUGUGUCAACGUGGAAUGUUGUUUACCAGAGUUGGCAAAUCCAUAAUCUCAUCCCAGGAAAAAAGUGGAAUAGACCUUGUUGGAUGAAAUGAACAAGAUGGAGACUAGAGCACAAUGGCGAGAAAACGCAGAUGUUUAACCAAAAACAGACUGAAAUCUAUCUGAAGGCCUAUGAUGGGACAAUAAAGGUA